UAAGUAGCCGCCGGUGGACGGGCAUUGUUGAUGUCAAUGAAUACAGAGAUAGUUUUCAUCUUUGCUACUAAC
rnacentral:tRNA from 1 species